AUUGAACGCUGGCGGAAUGCUUAACACAUGCAAGUCGAGCGGGGUGUAGCAAUACACCUAGCGGCGGACGGGUGAGGAAUACAUAGGAAUCUGCCUCAGAGCGGGGGAUAGCCCGGGGAAACCCGGAUUAAUACCGCAUGAUGUCGCAAGACCAAAGUGGGGGACCGCAAGGCCCCACACUCUGAGAUGAGCCUAUGUCCGAUUAGCUAGUUGGCGGGGUAAUAGCCCACCAAGGCGACGAUCGGUAGCUGGUCUGAGAGGACGAUCAGCCACACCGGAACUGAGACACGGUCCGGACU
rnacentral:rRNA from 1 species